rnacentral:rRNA from 1 species
GAUGAACGCUGGCGGCGUGCCUAAUACAUGCGAGUCGAGCGAACAGACGAGGAGCUUGCUCCUCUGACGUUAGCGGCGGACGGGUGAGUAACACGUGGAUAACCUACCUAUAAGACUGGGAUAACUUCGGGAAACCGGAGCUAAUACCGGAUAAUAUAUUGAACCGCAUGGUUCAAUAGUGAAAGACGGUUUUGCUGUCACUUAUAGAUGGAUCCGCGCCGCAUUAGCUAGUUGGUAAGGUAACGGCUUACCAAGGCAACGAUGCGUAGCCGACCUGAGAGGGUGAUCGGCCACACUGGAACUGAGACACGGUCCAGACUCCUACGGGAGGCAGCAGUAGGGAAUCUUCCGCAAUGGGCGAAAGCCUGACGGAGCAACGCCGCGUGAGUGAUGAAGGUCUUCGGAUCGUAAAACUCUGUUAUUAGGGAAGAACAAAUGUGUAAGUAACUAUGCACGUCUGGACGGUACCUAAGCAGAAAGCCACGGCUAACUACGG